AGGAUCCCGUUGUAGACUGACAUCCGGACAGUUGAAGACCAGGAGAUCGGCUCAGGCUGGCAGCAAGAGCAAACAAAACUGGGCGCUACCUGCAGGGGGG
rnacentral:SRP_RNA from 1 species